AUUUUCCUAAUUUUUUGCUCUGAUGAAAAGAAUGAUUUCUACUACGGCUGAUAUUGAUAAACCAGCAUAGGUGUGAAAUUUCUCUUUACUUAUAUAAAUUGCAGUCUCCAUCAGUAGCCAGAAAUAUAUUUGUCCUCGCCAUAUAUAGAGAAAAGAGAACAAUCAAACUCAGACUCUGUCUUCCAUAGAACUCAAUACCAUCCCCCUAUUGUUCUCAUACGCAUUCAAAGUAGGCAUGUCUGCUGUAUACUUGUCCUCACCAUAUAUAGGGAAAAGUGAAUAAUCAAACUCAGGUUUAGCAUCUUCGUUAGAACUCAAAACCAUCCCAUAGUUAUUUUCAUCCACCUUCAAAUCAAGCAUAUCUGCUAUAUAUUCGUCAUCACCAUGUAUGGAUAAAAGAUAAUAAUCAAACUCAGACUCAGUGUCUUCCUUAGUACUCAGUACCAUCCCAUCGUUAUUUUUAUCCACCUUCAAAUUCAACGGCUGUCCACCAUCCUCGCCAUGAGCUGCUACAGACUUGCAAAGAUGAGCAACAUGCUCAUCAAAAGUACAAUAGUAAUAAUAAUCAUGAUAUUUGUUGA
rnacentral:misc_RNA from 1 species